AAAUUGAUUUUAUGCUUGCAUAAAUGAUUUUUGGAUUCGGAGCGAGUGGCGAACUGGUGAGUAACACGUGGGUAACCUGCCCCGAAGCGGGGGAUAACAUUUGGAAACAAGUGCUAAUACCGCAUAAUUAGUUGGAACCGCAUGGUUCCAACUUGAAAGAUGGCUCUGCUAUCACUUUGGGAUGGACCCGCGCCGUAUUAGUUAGUUGGUGAGAUAAAAGCCCACCAAGACGAUGAUACGUAGCCGACCUGAGAGGGUAAUCGGCCACAUUGGGACUGAGACACGGCCCAGACUCCUACGGGAGGCAGCAGUAGGGAAUCUUCCACAAUGGACGAAAGUCUGAUGGAGCAACGCCGCGUGAGUGAUGAAGGUUUUCGGAUCGUAAAACUCUGUUGUUAAAGAAGAACAAGUGUUAGAGUAACUGUUAACACUUUGACGGUAUUUAACCAGAAAGCCACGGCUAACUACGUGCCAGCAGCCGCGGUAAUACGUAGGUGGCAAGCGUUGUCCGGAUUUAUUGGGCGUAAAGCGAGCGCAGGCGGUUUUGUAAGUCUGCUGUGAAAGCCCUCAGCUCAACUGAGGAAGUGCAGUGGAAACUACAAAACUUGAGUACAGAAGAGGAAAGUGGAACUCCAUGUGUAGCGGUGAAAUGCGUAGAUAUAUGGAAGAACACCAGUGGCGAAGGCGGCUUUCUGGUCUGUUACUGACGCUGAGG
rnacentral:rRNA from 2 species